rnacentral:rRNA from 1 species
AUUGAACGCUGGCGGAAUGCUUUACACAUGCAAGUCGAACGGCAGCACGGACUUCGGUCUGGUGGCGAGUGGCGAACGGGUGAGUAAUGUAUCGGAACGUGCCCAGUCGUGGGGGAUAACGUAGUGAAAAUUACGCUAAUACCGCAUACGAUCUAUGGAUGAAAGCGGGGGAUCGCAAGACCUCGCGCGAUUGGAGCGGCCGAUAUCAGAUUAGGUAGUUGGUGGGGUAAAGGCCCACCAAGCCAACGAUCUGUAGCUGGUCUGAGAGGACGACCAGCCACACUGGAACUGAGACACGGUCCAGACUCCUACGGGAGUCAGCAGUGGGGAAUUUUGGACAAUGGGCGAAAGCCUGAUCCAGCCAUUCCGCGUGCAGGAUGAAGGCCCUCGGGUUGUAAACUGCUUUUGUACAGAACGAAAAGGUUUCUACUAAUACUAGGAGCUCAUGACGGUACUGUAAGAAUAAGCACCGGCUAACUACGUGCCAGCAGCCGCGGUAACAC